rnacentral:hammerhead_ribozyme from 1 species
ACGCGAAACGGCCUUCGGGCCGUCGCCGGGGCAUGGCGGCUCCGGCCUGACGAGCAGCCGCAA